rnacentral:rRNA from 1 species
AACGAACGCUGGCGGCAGGCCUAACACAUGCAAGUCGAGCGAGGACUUCGGUUCUAGCGGCGGACAGGUGAGUAACGCGUGGGAAUGUGCCCUUCUCUACGGAAUAGCCCUGGGAAACUGGGAGUAAUACCGUAUACGCCCUAUUGGGGAAAGAUUUAUCGGAGAAGGAUCAGCCCGCGUUGGAUUAGGUAGUUGGUGGGGUAAUGGCCUACCAAGCCGACGAUCCAUAGCUGGUGUGAGAGGAUGAUCAGCCACACUGGGACUGAGACACGGCCCAGACUCCUACGGGAGGCAGCAGUGGGGAAUCUUAGACAAUGGGGGCAACCCUGAUCUAGCCAUGCCGCGUGAGUGAUGAAGGCCUUAGGGUUGUAAAGCUCUUUCAGCUGGGAAGUUAAUGACGGUACCAGCAGAAGAAGCCCCGGCUAACUCCGUG